GACGAACGCUGGCGGCGUGCCUAAUACAUGCAAGUAGAACGCUGAAGCGAGGAGCUUGCUCUUCUUGGGUGAGGUGCGAACGGGUGAGUAACGCGUAUGUAACCUGCCUGGUAGCGGGGGAUAACUAGUGGAAACGAUAGCUAAUACCGCAUAACAAUGGAUUACACAUGUCAUGUAUUUGAAAGUGGCAGUUGCUCCACUACAAGAUGGACCUGCGUUGUAUUAGCUAGUAGGUGAGGUAAUGGCUCACCUAGGCGACGAUACAUAGCCGACCUGAGAGGGUGGUCGGCCGCCCUGGGACGGAGACCCGCCCCAGAGUCCUACGGGAGGCAGCCGUAGGGCAUCUUCGGCAAUGGGGGCAACCCUGACCGAGAAACGCCGCGUGAGUGAAGAAGGUUGUCGGAUCGUAAAGCUCUGUUGUAAGUCAAGAACGGGUGUGAGAGUGGAAAGUUCACACUGUGACGGUAGCUUACAAGAAAGGGACGGCUAACUACGUG
rnacentral:rRNA from 1 species